GAAAUUGUCGUCUUCGGCGGCCAGCAGCGCGUGAAUGAAGUCGUCGGGGAUUUCCUCGAAGCGGAUUGGCGAGCGGCGCAUUUCGCCAAAUUCGGCGAUGAGCUUUUCGUCGGCGCUGAACACGCGCAAGGGGAUCUGCAGCUGGACGUUGCGCAGCGAUUCGACCGAGGGGAGAUUGGGGUUCAGGUAGAGGAACGCCCCGCUGAUACUGAGCAGCACGGCGCACAGCAAGCCAAGGCUGGACCACAAGAGAAACUUCAGAAGACGCAUCAGGGCUCUAGAAAUCCGGAAAG
rnacentral:antisense_RNA from 1 species